AAGAAGACCUUCUUCCAUGGCGAUUACGACUAGGUGUCUGUGAUAUCGCCCUAUGGAUGUUGAGUGGGAUCUUCUGGGACUUUGAGGAUGCAUUAGCUGCCUGCAGUCUGGACGCAUCCCACGCCGACUGCAAAUAUUAAGGAAGCACAAAGACCUAGCUCCCGGCCUCCACCUCAACGACGUCGACCUCAAGUUGAUUUUAAAUUUAUUUGUACUUCGAUGCGAACAACAAGACCUAGAUCUCGGCCUGGAAUGGAAGUAACUCCUGCAUACCGUCUAAGUCCACUAUUGACGCCACAGCACCACAUCGCGUUCAUUUGCUGAUUCCAACGUUUAUUUACCAAUUCCGAUCUUUCCCAGGACCAGGACCCAGGACGGCGCUCUCCUUGCUUCAUUCUGUUUAUUUUUCUUGAUUUCGGGAGCAUGUAAAUUUAGUAAUUUAGAAAUGAAAUGAAGCAUGGACGCCGAAGUAUGUACACAUUAAGCAACUGAAGACAUACACAUAUUAAAAUCAGGCACGCCUUUUUAUUGGACGUGUUCGGAUCGGUCAGAAAUUUAUAUAAGUUCUUAUAUAUGUACAUCAAUACAAUCAACUGUACCCACUUU